rnacentral:rRNA from 1 species
CAGAGGGUGCAAGCGUUAAUCGGAAUUACUGGGCGUAAAGCGAGCGUAGUCGGUUAUUUAAGUCGGAUGUGAAAUCCCCGGGCUCAACCUGGGAAUUGCAUUCGAUACUGGAUAGCUAGAGUUCGGCAGAGGGAAGCGGAAUUUCUGGUGUAGCGGUGAAAUGCGUAGAUAUCAGAAGGAACAUCAGUGGCGAAAGCGGCUUCCUGGACCAGAACUGACGAUCAGGCUCGAAAGCGUGGGGAGCAAACAGGAUUAGAUACCCUGGUAGUCCACGCCAUAAACGAUGACAACUAGACGUUGGGGACAUAUGGUCCACAGUGUCGCAGCUAACGCGUUAAGUUGUCCGCCUGGGGAGUACGGCCGCAAGGUUG